rnacentral:lncRNA from 1 species
UAUAUCCAGCUCUCUGGGUGAGGAAAGCAGGACCACGCUGCCUGGCUUCUGCUGUCCUCCUCAAGUCUUCAGGUCGUGAAGCUAAGGCCCAAAGUGAGCAGACUCAUGAUGAAUCCAUUGGGGCCACCAUUAUAAUGAUUCUGAUCUGCAGGCUCGAGUGCAGACUGAGGGGAGGAAAGAAGGGAGAUUCCACGGGAAGGAGGUUAGCUACAGGUCAAGACACUUCACUUAUUGGAAUGUGGACAUUUGGGGAGGAUCACUGGCUGCCAUGUCAUGGAUACACCCAGGAAGUUUCUGGUGAAACCCACAUAUGCGGAUGCGAGACACACAAAUAACCAUGGUUCUUCCUGCCCCAGCCCCUGACCUCAGUGAGAUUGCCCAUCCCUCACUCCCACAGCCUGGAACCCCAUUGCAGCACCAAUUCUCUACAACUGGCAGGCAUGUUGGUCCCACACUGUUAGAGCUGAUUGGGCUAUUUCUGCAUUAUAUCAGGAGCCUCUACAAUCAGAGCUGGUGUGAACACACAAUGGAGAUGCCCUUGGGCAUUCACAGUGGCUGCCAGAGAACAUCGUGAGCUUCCCACAAAGGUAUUCUGGAAGCUGAGCUAAUGUGUGGAAGUAUCUGGUAAUUAAAUCAAGGUCAAACACAUCAGCAUGAUAGAAUUGAGAGCACUAGAGGAGGGCACAUCUGAGAAAUAUGUAUUUUUCUCAGAUUCUAAAAACAAGUCAGGAACCUAGCCUCCGCAGUAUUCCUACACCAAGUUCUCCUUGUCAGUAAAAUCCCUUGGAUGGGGGAAAUGCACUCCCCGGCAUCUGAUUUAGUCUGUGUCUACAUUCAUUUACUCACUUAACAAAUAUUUCUUGACUAUGUUCAAGGACAAGACAUAGACUGAGAACUGCUGAUACAAAGAUGAAUCCAACCCCUGAUUGUCUUCAAGGAGUU